rnacentral:ribozyme from 1 species
GGGCAUUGGCGCCGGCUUCAUCCCGACCGUGCUGGAUACCGCACUGCUGGACGGCGUGGUCCAGGUCGAGGCCGAGGCGGCGCGUGAAUACGCGCGCCGCUGCGCCCGCGAGGAGGGCCUGCUGGUCGGCA